rnacentral:rRNA from 1 species
UCUGGUGGGUAGUUUGACUGGGGCGGUCUCCUCCUAAAGAGUAACGGAGGAGCACGAAGGUUGGCUAAGCAUGGUCGGACAUCAUGCGGUUAGUGCAAAGGCAUAAGCCAGCUUGACUGCGAGAGUGACGGCUCGAGCAGGUACGAAAGUAGGUCUUAGUGAUCCGGUGGUUCUGAAUGGAAGGGCCAUCGCUCAACGGAUAAAAGGUACUCCGGGGAUAACAGGCUGAUACCGCCCAAGAGUUCAUAUCGACGGCGGUGUUUGGCACCUCGAUGUCGGCUCAUCACAUCCUGGGGCUGAAGUAGGUCCCAAGGGUAUGGCUGUUCGCCAUUUAAAGUGGUACGCGAGCUGGGUUUAGAACGUCGUGAGACAGUUCGGUCCCUAUCUGCCGUGGGCGUUGGAAGAUUGAGAGGGGUUGCUCCUAGUACGAGAGGACCGGAGUGAACGCACCACUGGUGUUCGGGUUGUCAUGCCAAUGGCAUUGCCCGGUAGCUAAGUGCGGAAGAGAUAACCGCUGAAAGCAUCUAAGCGGGAAACUUGCC